rnacentral:sRNA from 1 species
CUUGAAAGGAGCAUAGAUCUCUUCACCGUUAAAAGAUCCGACACGAAUCGAUGAAGCUUGAGUUAGUGACCCGAAGUAAUUCGCUUGUUGCACUUUGUCCUUCGUUGCCCACGAGAUUCCU